GCGCCCAUAGGAUAGAGUACUUGACUACGAAUCAAGCGGUUAGAGGUUCGACUCCUCUUGGGCGCAC
rnacentral:tRNA from 1 species